GGCGGGAUGCUUUACACAUGCAAGUCGAACGGCAGCACGGACUUCGGUCUGGUGGCGAGUGGCGAACGGGUGAGUAAUGUAUCGGAACGUGCCUAGUAGCGGGGAUAACUACGCGAAAGGUAGCUAAUACCGCAUACGCCCUUCGGGGAAAGCGGGGACCUCGGGCCUCGCAUCACCAGAGCGGCCGAUAUCGGAUUAGCUAGCUGGUGGGGUAACGGCUCACCAAGGCGACGAUCCGUAGCUGGUUUGAGAGGACGACCAGCCACACUGGGACUGAGACACGGCCCAGACUCCUACGGGAGGCAGCAGGGGGAAUUUUGGACAAUGGGGAAACUCCCUGAUCCAGCCAUCCCGCGUGUGCGAUGAAGGCCUUCGGGUUGUAAAGCACUUUUGGCAGGAAGAAACGGCACGGGAUAAUACCCCGUGCAACUGACGGUACCUGCAGAAUAAGCACCGGCUAACUACGUGCCAGCAGCCGCGGUAAUACGUAGGUGCAAGCGUUAAUCGGAAUUACUGGGCGUAAAGCGUGCGCAGGCGGUUCGGAAAGAAAGAUGUGAAAUCCCAGAGCUUAACUUUUGAACUGCAUUUUUAACUACCGAGCUAGAGUGUGUCAGAGGAGGUGGAAUUCCGCGUGUAGCAGUGAAAUGCGUAGAUAUGCGGAGGAACACCGAUGGCGAAGGCAGCCUCCUGGGAUAUCACUGACGCUCAUGCACGAAAGCGUGGGGAGCAACAGGAUUAGAUACCCUGGUAGUCCACGCCCUAAACGAUGUCAACUAGCUGUUGGGGCCUUCGGGCCCCUGGUAGCGCAGCUAACGCGUGAAGUUGACCGCCUGGGGAGUACGGUCGCAAGAUAAAACUCAAAGGAAUUGACGGGACCCGCACAAGCGGUGGAUGAUGUGGAUUAAUUCGAUGCAACGCGAAAACCUUACCUACCCUUGACAAUGUCUGAAUCCCGAAGAGAUUUGGGAGUGCUCGCAAGAGAACCGAAACACAGGUGCUGCAUGGCUGUCGUCAGCUCGUGUCGUGAGAUGUUGGGUUAAGUCCCAACGAGCGCAACCCUUGUCAUUAUUGCGUUAAUGAAAGGGCACUCUAAUGAGACUGCCGGUGACAAACCGGAGGAAGGUGGGAUGACGUCAAGUCCUCAUGGCCCCGGCGGGUAGGGCUUCACAUCGUCAUACAAUGGUCGGGACAGAGGGUCGCCAACCCGCGAGGGGGGAGCCAAUCCCAGAAACCCGAUCGUAGUCCGGAUCGCAGUCUGCAACUCGACUGCGUGAAGUCGGAAUCGCUAGUGUCUCCGCGGAUCAGCAUGUCGCGAUGAAUACGUUCCCGGGUCUUGUACACACCGCCCGUCACACCAUGGGAGUGGGUUUUACCAGAAGUAGUUAGCCUAACCGUAAGGAGGGCGAUUACCACGGUAGGAUUCAUGACUAGUGAAGUCGUAACAAGGUAG
rnacentral:rRNA from 1 species